rnacentral:rRNA from 1 species
CACGUGGACACCUACCCUUAGGUCGGGGAUAAACCCGGGAAACUGGGUAUAAUACCCGAUGGUCCUCGAAUGCUGGAAUGCAUCGAGGUCUAAAGCUCCGGCGCCUAAGGAUGGGUCUGCGGCCUAUCAGGUAGUAGUGGGUGUAGCGUACCUACUAGCCUACGACGGGUACGGGUUGUGAGAGCAAGAGCCCGGAGAUGGAUUCUGAGACACGAAUCCAGGCCCUACGGGGUGCAGCAGGCGCGAAAACUUUACAAUGCUGGCAACAGCGAUAAGGGGACCUCGAGUGCCAGGUUACAAAUCUGGCUGUCGUGAUGCCUAAAAAGCAUUGCAUAGCAAGGGCCGGGCAAGACCGGUGCCAGCCGCCGCGGUAACACCGGCGGCUCGAGUGGUAACCGUUAUUAUUGGGUCUAAAGGGUCUGUAGCCGGCCGGAUAAGUCUCUUGGGAAAUCUGGCAGCUUAACUGUCAGGCUUUCAGGAGAUACUGUCUGGCUCGAGGCCGGGAGAGGUGAGAGGUACUUCAGGGGUAGGGGUGAAAUCUUGUAAUCCUUGAAGGACCACCAGUGGCGAAGGCGUCUCACCAGAACGGACCUGACGGCAAG